GGGGUCAUAGCUCAGUUGGGAGAGCGUCUGCCUUGCAAGCAGAAGGCCGCGGGUUCAAUUCCCGCUGAUUCCA
rnacentral:tRNA from 1 species